AUAAAGGAGAAAUCCUAUUGCCGAAGAAAUAGACACACCAGAUAAAGUUUGGGAGAUCCAACAUACGUGCAAGGAUGAUAAAGGAGAACUGGUGUGGGUGGAUUCACAAUCCCAACAAAUUCAUGGUCAACUCCAGGAAGUUGUCGCUCAAUAACAAUCUGAAGAGAUCGAGCAUCCCAUGACUAGAGAUGGGAUUUUAUCCACCGUUCUUGGUGAGAGAACAGGCUAUGUUCGCGGAAAAGGAUACGGAAUGAAGCCUCCUAAAAAGAGUAACAUGCAGCAUGCAAAUAUAGAGCCCAACGUGUCUUCAACUAUGGAAAUUGUGCAUCAAGAGUGCAAGCCGAUAUGGAUAGAAAGUUUCAAGAAGAACGUGAACAAAUGGUUGCUGAGUUGAAAAGAAAUAUGUAGCUUGAGUUGCAAAGGAAGUUGGCAGAGGAGCGUGAACACGCAAAUGCAGAAGUGCAAAGGAAGUUGGCAGAGGAGCGUGAACACGCAAAUGCAGAAGUAGGCAAGAGGAUCCAUCUAGAAGUGGACAAGAGGAUGCAUGAACAAUUUGCUAGUUUCAUGAUCAGAAUGCAACAACAGCAGGGACAAGGCGCAUAAACAAUGGUAUCGUUCAAGGAUGGUGUCGACCAAGGAGCAAUUACAAGGAACUUAAUAUUUUAUCUUUUUUGGGAUAUGUAUAUGCGUACA